GUGGGGAAUAUUGGGCAAUGGGCGAAAGCCUGACCCAGCAACGCCGCGUGAAGGAAGAAGGUUUUCGGAUCGUAAACUUCUAUCCUUGGUGAAGAUAAUGACGGUAGCCAAGAAGGAAGCCCCGGCUAACUACGUGCCAGCAGCCGCGGUAAUACGUAGGGGGCAAGCGUUGUCCGGAAUGAUUGGGCGUAAAGGGCGCGUAGGCGGCCCGGUAAGUCUGAAGUGAAAGUCCUGCUUUUAAGGUGGGAAUUGCUUUGGAUACUGUCGGGCUUGAGUGCAGGAGAGGUAAGCGGAAUUCCCGGUGUAGCGGUGAAAUGCGUAGAGAUCGGGAGGAACACCAGUGGCGAAGGCGACUUACUGGACGAUGUCUGACGCUGAGGCGCGAAAGCUAGGGGAGCGAACGGGAUUAGAAACCCCUGUAGUCC
rnacentral:rRNA from 1 species